rnacentral:rRNA from 1 species
AAUAUUGGACAAUGGGCGGAAACCUGAUCCAGCCAUGCCGCGUGCAGGAGGACUGCCCUAUGGGUUGUAAACUGCUUUUAUACAGGAAGAAACCUGUCCACGUGUGGAUAGCUGACGGUACUGUAAGAAUAAGGACCGGCUAACUCCGUGCCAGCAGCCGCGGUAAUACGGAGGGUCCGAGCGUUAUCCGGAAUUAUUGGGUUUAAAGGGUCCGUAGGUGGACAGGUCAGUCAGAGGUGAAAUCCUGCAGCUUAACUGUAGAACUGCCUUUGAUACUGCCAGUCUUGAGUCAUUAUGAAGUAGUUAGAAUAUGUAGUGUAGCGGUGAAAUGCAUAGAUAUUACAUAGAAUACCAAUUGCGAAGGCAGAUUACUAAUAAUGUACUGACACUGAUGGACGAAAGCGUGGGGAGCGAACGGGAUUAGAUACCCCGGUAGUCCACGCCGUA